rnacentral:lncRNA from 1 species
CAUUUUAAGGUCCUAAGACCACAAACAAAACCAAAGUGCACAACCAAUAUAUACAAUCAUAGGAUAUAGCUCAAAUGAGCAAAGUGAAAAUGGCAUAAACAUAAAGAAGUUAAAUGUAAUGUAAAUGGCAUUGAAUGAUAAAUAAUUGAAAUUUAACUUGCAUAAAGUAAAUAAAUUGAAAGUAAAACAAUAUUAACAAGAGUUAGUCAAAUGUUAGU